rnacentral:rRNA from 1 species
CCUACGGGAGGCAGCAGUCAGGAAUAUUUGUCAAUGGACGAGAGUCUGAACCAGCCAAGUAGCGUGGAGGAUUGCUGCCCUAUGGGUUGUAAACUUCUUUUAUAUGGGAAUAAAAUGUUCAAAGUGUAGGACUUUGUAUGUACCAUAUGAAUAAGGUUCGGCUAACUCCGUGCCAGCAGCCGCGGUAAUACGGAGGAUCCGAGCGUUGUCCGGAUUGAUUGGGUUUAAAGGGAGCGUAGGUGGAUUGUUAAGUCAGUUGUGAACGUUGGCGGCUCAACCGUAAAAUUGCAGUUGAAACUGGCAGUCUUGAGUAAAGGAGAGGGAGGCGGAAUUCGUGGUGUAGCAGUGAAAUGCGUAGAUAUCGAGAAGAACUCCGAUUGCGAAGGCAGGUCCCUGGACUUUAACUGACACUGAGGCUCGAAAGUGAGGGGAGCAAAAGGGAUUAGAUACCCGAGUAGUC